GGUUAGUGGCUCGCCGUGAUCGUAUAGUGGUUAGUACUCUGCGUUGUGGCCGCAGCAACCUCGGUUCGAAUCCGAGUCACGGCAGGUGGUUCUAACUUGCUGGGGUGGCGGUUUUUUUUUUUUUUAAUUAACACUUUUAAAAGAGUGACACAUGCUUGUAAUUCUGCCUUCGCUUAAGGCAUCCCCGCGGAAGUGCAGUCCACAGAUUCGGUGAAUAACAAUAGCUCCAGGCCGACGUGGUGGCUCGCGCCAUUACGUAAUCCCAGC
rnacentral:tRNA from 1 species